rnacentral:lncRNA from 1 species
GAUCUUAGUACUUUCCAAGAUAAAAAAAAGGAGGAACAAAGGGGGUUACAGACAUAUCUGCAGCUAAAAACAGCUGUUUGCAGUGUCAGGCGAAUUCUGUGUGUUUCAUUCACUCCUGUUUGUAUUUAGCAGAUGAACCUGGCCUUUACUUAUGACGCACAUUUUCCACCAGGCCAGGCAUGCCACCCCCGCCCCCAGACUCCUGCAUGGUUUAACCUGGGAGAUGUGUGAGGCAGUCUGCCCAAGCGCAGGCUCUGUAAGGCAGCUGGGUUCUGUCCCAGGUGGGUUCUCGCCUCUGCUAAGUAACAGAUGAGAUGUGUCUGCUGCUGCUUGCUCCUCCCCAAACCUCUCCUCAUCCUAGGGCACGACCAAUGGCCAAGAGAGAGGACCGAGACAAGCAGGCACAUUUAGGCACUGGUGAACUCACCAGACAGAUUGUCAUCCAGAGGGCUCUGGCAGCCUGUGUCCUCCCCACUCCUUAAGGACCACUAUCCCUGGGUGGUAUGGCAGGAGCAAAGCCAGGUUCUAAACUGGGGGAAGGGAACUCAGGGGUGACCAGGCCAGAGGAGGAGGCCUGAGGCUAUGAUUAGGAGCAAAUGCCUUAAAAGAUGCUACCUUCCCUGGGUAUCUGUUCUUUGACCACUGCUAAGGAUUGAAUUGUGUCCCUCCAAAAUCCAUAUGUAGAACGCAAACCCCAGUACGACUAUUUGGAGACAUGACCUGCGAGGCAGUAAUAAAGGCUAAAUGAGGUCCUAAGGGUGGACCCUGAUCCAAC